rnacentral:rRNA from 1 species
AGAGUUUGAUCCUGGCUCAGGAUGAACGCUAGCGGCAGGCUUAACACAUGCAAGUCGAGGGGCAGCGCGGGGUAGCAAUACCCUGGCGGCGACCGGCGGAAGGGUGCGUAACACGUGAGCGACUUGCCCGUCACAGGGAGAUAACCGGCGGAAACGGCGACUAAUAUCCCAUAUGAUCCGGCGCUACAUGGCGUCGGAUUGAAAGAUUCAUCGGUGACGGAUAGGCUCGCGGGACAUUAGCUGGACGGCGGGGCAACGGCCCACCGUGGCGACGAUGUCUAGGGGUUCUGAGAGGAAGAUCCCCCACACUGGAACUGAGACACGGUCCAGACUCCUACGGGAGGCAGCAGUGAGGAAUAUUGGUCAAUGGGCGGAAGCCUGAACCAGCCAUGCCGCGUGAAGGAAUAAGGCCCUAUGGGUCGUAAACUUCUUUAGACGCAGAGCAAUAAGGGUCUCGUGAGGCCCGAUGAGAGUAUGCGUAGAAUAAGCAUCGGCUAACUCCGUGCCAGCAGCCGCGGUAAUACGGGGGAUGCGAGCGUUAUCCGGAUUUAUUGGGUUUAAAGGGUGCGUAGGCGGCAAGGUAAGUCAGCGGUGAAAGACCAGGGCUCAACUCUGGAAGUGCCGUUGAUACUGUCUGGCUAGAAUGAUUCCGCCGUGGGAGGAAUGAGUAGUGUAGCGGUGAAAUGCAUAGAUAUUACUCAGAACACCGAUUGCGAAGGCAUCUCACGAGGGGUUUAUUGACGCUGAGGCACGAAAGCGUGGGGAUCGAACAGGAUUAGAUACCCUGGUAGUCCACGCAGUAAACGAUGAUGGCUAACUGUCGGGCCUUAUGGGUUCGGCGGCCAAGCGAAAGCGAUAAGCCAUCCACCUGGGGAGUACGACCGCAAGGUUGAAACUCAAAGGAAUUGACGGGGGCCCGCACAAGCGGAGGAACAUGUGGUUUAA